GGUCGCGGCGACAUAGACGGCGAUGAAAACGACAGGAGCGACCACCCCCAAGCUAUCGAUCCAAUCUCUCAAGCUGUUCAAACCGUCGAAGCUGAUGUACUCUGUGAGCCCGGUCAGUCGGGCCGCGAGAAGAGCGAGAAGCAGCACGAAGCCUAUGCCGAUCAACCUGACCACACGCCUUUUCUUGUCUGUGACUCCUCCAUCUAGGAGCCGACCCGUGGUAGUUCCUCUCUCUCCCCUUUUUGGCGCUCCGUUCGACGGUCUCUCACGAGGCUGUGGC
rnacentral:misc_RNA from 1 species